AUAGACCUACAUCUGUAAUAAAUUUUUGUUUUCUGCAACGAGCUGUUUUUCUCUAUUUGCUCUGUAUUUAACCUCAAAGAGGAAGGCUGAUGCAAACCAAAGCAAAGUGUCCUCCCAUUACAAAAGUAUUUAUGUCUCACUGACAGAAGUGUGUACAUUUUUUUUCUUCUUCCAAAAUGAAAAGCAAAUACAAUUUAAGAAUGGGGCCACGAAUCAUUCUGUGCCAAGUUGUGACAUUUCUGACAUUUCAGUAUUGUUGGAGUCAGACACUGACUGAGUCAGAACCUGUUGUCAUUAAACCUGAAGGAUCUCAUAAACUGACCUGUACUGCCUCUGGCUUUGACUUCAGUGGCUACUGGAUGGCUUGGAUCAGACAGGCUUCAGGAAAAGGACUGGAUUUUGUUGCUAUCAUUGAGGGUGACAGUGAUAGAAAGUAUUACUCCAGUGCUGUUCAAGGCAGAUUCACUGUCACCAGAGACAACAGUAAGAAUCAGGUGUAUCUGCAUAUGAGCAAACUGAAGAAUGAGGACACAGCCGUGUAUUACUGUGCCAGAAGACACAUAACUUAUAAUUAUUAUUUUGACUACUGGGGUAAAGGCACACAAGUGACCGUCACAAAUGAUGAACCUAAAAAACCUGUAGUGUUCAAGAUGUCUGAGUGUACUACUUCAGCUACCCAAACGCUUGGCUGUUUGGCCUCUGAAUUUUCUCCUGCUACAGCACUCAGUUUCAAAUGGACCGAUCAAAGCGGAAACACCUUGACUGAUUUUGUCCAACACCCUGCAGUAGAAAUUAAUGGAAAGUCACUGAAAAUCAGUCACAUCACUGUUACAGAAAGUCAAUUAAAUGAAACCAGUAUAACAUGUCAAGCAGUGCACCCUUCAGAAACUGUUAAUGAAACAUUCCCAAGAGUUAUAGCCCAAGCACCAACCCUGAGCCUGGUCCCUGUAAUAACUCAGAAAAGUACAUCUGUCAUGUGUGUUAUUGAGGACUUCCACCCCAAAGCCCUCACUGUACAAUGGAUGGAAAAUAAUAUCAUUAUGGACAAUCAAACAAAACCGUACUACAUUCAGGAUAAAGAUACAGGUCUUUACACAGCAAGGAGUCUUUACAAAGUAAGCAGUGAAUCAUGGAACAAACAUACUGAAUACACCUGUAAUGUCACGCACAUGGGCCAAGUGAAACAUGUGACAAAAAAUAUCAAAGCUACGUUAGAGCUGACCCUGAAGUCACCAAUACAGAGAAACAUAUUCCUCUUCGGUGACGUGAUCUUGCAGGCUGUUGUUUCUGGAAAUGAAUACAAAGCAGUGGAAGAUGCCUCAGUGUUAUGCACAUUGGAAAAGAAAGAAUUAACCUUAAAUAAAGCUGAAAUACAAUCACAAGACAAUUCAGGGUUUCAAAAAAUCCACAAUGUCACUGUUAAUAGAGAUAAAUGGUUUGCUGGUAAAAUGGUCACCUGUACUAUCAGUGAUAAAAACAUAAAGAAGGAAAUCCGUUUUAAUAAAGGAGAUUCAAAGAAACCCAGUGUUGUCCUUUAUGAACAACAAAGUGACAGCACAAACUCUUCACACGUCUCUCUGGUAUGUGAGGUCAGCAGCCCUCAACUUGGUGAUGUUUAUAUUAUGUGGAGAGUAGAUAAUGGAAAAUAUGAGGAGGGUAAUACCAGUGCUCCAAUCCAUCGGAAGGACUCCACAUCUGUCAUCAGCUUAUUUGAAGUGUCUGAUAAACAAUAUGAAGAAUCUACGAUCUCUUGCGCAGUCGUGCAUGCCAACAUGAACAAAACAGAUGCACCAUUAAUAACAACAGCGAGCAAAAAUGAGCCUCCAGAACCUGAAACAGGCUUUGCAUUACACUGUAAUGAAACUGGUUUGGAGGAAGAUGAGUUCAGAAGUCUCUGGUCUACUGCCACCUCAUUCAUCUUCCUCUUCCUCUUUUCUCUGACCUACAGCGCUCUCAUCAGCCUAUCUAAGAUGAAGCAGUGAAAAUAAUAAAAAAAGAAAAUGAAGACUCAGAGGUUAUUUAUUUCUUUGUGAUCAUUGUGAAUUUAGUUUUUUUCUCUCUUGAUUUAUAUUUGUUAUAAUAGCUUUGUUUACUGUAAA